rnacentral:rRNA from 1 species
AUUGAACGCUGGCGGCAUGCCUUACACAUGCAAGUCGAACGGCAGCGGGGGAGCUUGCUCCUGCCGGCGAGUGGCGAACGGGUGAGUAAUGCAUCGGAACGUGUCCUGUUGUGGGGGAUAACUGAUCGAAAGAUCAGCUAAUACCGCAUGAGACCUGAGGGUGAAAGCGGGGGAUCGCAAGACCUCGCGCGACAGGAGCGGCCGAUGUCUGAUUAGCUAGUUGGUGAGAUAAAAGCUUACCAAGGCGACGAUCAGUAGCUGGUCUGAGAGGAUGAUCAGCCACAUUGGGACUGAGACACGGCCCAGACUCCUACGGGAGGCAGCAGUGGGGAAUUUUGGACAAUGGGGGAAACCCUGAUCCAGCCAUGCCGCGUGCGGGAUGAAGGCCUUCGGGUUGUAAACCGCUUUUGUCAGAGACGAAAAGGGACGCACGAAUAAUGCGUCCCGCUGACGGUAUCUGAAGAAUAAGCACCGGCUAACUACGUG